GGCGCUAUCCUCGCACCAGGCCUGGCUAAACGGGAGCGGGCUGCUGUCCCUGGGCAGUCCCCUACAGCGACCCAUGGGAUAAGUGACAUCAGAGAUUUUAGGAGAAGUUGCUUGAUGGGCAAGGAACAUAAGUCUGUCAGUGAGACCUAGGCAAGAAACAAACGUGAAAUCCAACCAUCUUCUGGAAAUGCUGCAGCAUCAGUUGAAAACACAGGAAGGAAAAGCCAAUGUUUUUCCAUUCUUAUCAUCACAAUUACUAUGUGUGUUUUAAGACUAUUUUUAAUGAAGCUCAUUUUUUACCACUGUA